rnacentral:rRNA from 1 species
GUGGGGAAUCUUGCGCAAUGGGCGAAAGCCUGAUCCAGCCAUGCCGCGUGUGUGAAGAAGGUCUUCGGAUUGUAAAGCACUUUAAGUUGGGAGGAAGGGUAGUAACCUAAUACGUUGCUACUUUGACGUUACCGACAGAAUAAGCACCGGCUAACUUCGUGCCAGCAGCCGCGGUAAUACGAAGGGUGCAAGCGUUAAUCGGAAUUACUGGGCGUAAAGCGCGCGUAGGUGGUUUUGUAAGUUGGAGGUGAAAUCCCCGGGCUCAACCUGGGAACUGCCUCCAAAACUGCAUGACUAGAGUACGGUAGAGGGUAGUGGAAUUUCCUGUGUAGCGGUGAAAUGCGUAGAUAUAGGAAGGAACACCAGUGGCGAAGGCGACUACCUGGACUGAUACUGACACUGAGGUGCGAAAGCGUGGGGAGCAAACAGGAUUAGAUACCCUAGUAGUCC